rnacentral:telomerase_RNA from 1 species
CAUGACACCCUGACAGGCUGUCACCUCGCCAAGGUUGCUCAAAGUAGCACCAAGUAACCCUAAAUAUAGUCAUGCACGCGCCAGACUUUGGCGGCAAAACCAAAGAGGGGGUCAUUUGCCAGGGUUUCCCUCCUCAACCAAACAACCAAAUCCUCAAGUGGAGUCUGAAAGGGUUGUCAGGUGUCAGUGGUUGAAGCACCAAGUCUCACCGAGGGCAGAUAGAGCUUACUGUGUCACAAUGCAGUAUGAGUGGUUGGUCCAUGAUCUCUAUCUAUUCCGGGUGCAGGCUCAAUAUGGAUGCUGCUAUUUGCUUCUGAGGCCUUCAAUACCUUUUGCGUGAUACCUUUUU